rnacentral:lncRNA from 1 species
UUCAGUGACAGCUCAAUGAAUCUGUGAAUGAACAGAACAGGUGACUCUCCAGAACACGCCAUUCACCCAAUCUCUGUCACGUCAGAGAUGGCUUCCUCCCAGGUGUCCUGGCAGUGCUGGCCUGGCCCAGUGGGCAGUGCUGUGAGGCCACAGGAGCGAGGAGGCAGCCAGCCACACCACAUGGCUCUCCUGGAAUGGAGCUUCCCGAGCCGGGCCAAGCUGCCUGGAGCCCAGGGCUUGAGUCUGCAGUGGGCACAAGGGUGGCAGUGUGGGCCCCGCUCUGGGGAGCUGUAAACUGUGGAACUUGUCUCCAGGCAAGCCUCUUGGGGGUUCCCCGAAGCGUCCAAGAGACCGCCGGCUGUAAGGUUACCCGGCCGAGGUUAGAAGAGACGUUCCAGGGCUCCACCCCUCGCCGGAGGCCGAAUCGCCGGGAGGGCCCAGGAAUCUGUUUUGGUUGGGAUUUCUCUGGAAUUAGGAAGAGAUUUUUCCGCACUACGUUUGAAGACAGCUGUGCUGCCUCCUUUGAGGAACCUUACUCCAGAGACCUGUUUGCUUUGUUCAACCUCCGAAUCCAACAGACCCACUUGAUUGGGCCCAAUGAUGAGGGAAUCGAAUCAAGUCACAUGCUUGUCAAUGAAUGUGGUUCCUUUCGGUAA